ensembl:lncRNA
ACAAACUUUUAAUCGCAAUUCAUUAAUUUCAAAAUGUGCAAUUAAUUAGUUAAUUUUCUUUAACCUAUUGACAACACUAAUAUUCAACACUUGUGUAACUAGAAAAUAUGUAAAAAUUGUUUUAUUUUUAUUAAUCAAACGUGGUAUAUAGGACAAAUGUAUCACUAUUAAGUAAUUUGUCUGUAUAGACAUUAAUAAGGGCCAUGUCCUUGCUCAAUGUGAUACUAAUAUAACUGCAGCCCGAUGACUUAAUAUCGCAAACAUUUUAAUAAUUUACCAAGUCUGCAUUUAUAAAUUUAAUUGUGCUGUUGAUAGAUUUAUGCCUUCAAAACUGAGAUUUAUGAUAUUACAUCCGCCUGUUAGAUGUACUCAUGGUCUCACCACUUAUGACCGACAGGCCAUGGAACGACACCCACAGAGGGGAACCUGCAUGGAAGAGUGCACUCGUUCAGAACGAGGCUCUUCGUCUUCAGCGGCUUGUGCUGCUCUGCUGUUUUCAUGGGAAUCCGUCACCGUGGAGAUGUGGAGGUAAUCGCUCUCUACCGGAGCCGGGGGAGACAGCAGCACAUCCCACAGGACUAAAUCCAUCGUCAGAUUCACACCGGUUCACUCUUCGUGAUGAGCUAAUCAGAGACACUGUCACACUACCUAGUUUUAAUUUAAAAGGAAAUAACAAAAAUACUGAAAUAAAAAAAAAUAGACUUCAUAUUGAUAUUGGAGAAGACUGGGACGCAGUGCUUCGACGUGUUGGGGGGGCAAAGCUGUGAUAGGGACUCUCGCUUGGCCCGAUGACGUCGGCAAUCCCCGGAACAUCAAAACAAGUUGUAUUAAUUAUUAUUAGUUCAUUAAGGGGAUUAAUUAAAAAAAAGUUGUUUUUCUCUAGCGUUUAGGGGUUGGUAGAGAUGCCAGACAGGCACGCUAACGUGUAGAAGACAAAAGUUAAAUAUAUUAAGUCCUUGAGGUUGUCUGCCAAGCACUUUAGAGAAAUGGCCAUUAUUUGUUGUCCUUUGAUAAUUUCACGCCUAAAACUCAUCAUUGGCGGCCCCAUUAGUACCUUUGAUAAAUAUUUCCCUGCACGAGGCAAAUUGGAUUUAGAAGCAUCAGUAAGUGGCAGAUUAAAUAUUGUUGCAUCGAGUACAUCCUUUUUUCUCUACAAAUCGGACGUGGGCCGAUGCAAUAUGGUGCAAAAUGUGCAAAAUGUUAGAGCAAUAACCACAUGUUAACAACCUGUUUACACCAAAUACGGAAUAAGACCAAUCUAAGUCUAAUAUUCACUCAGUAUUUAGCUCCAUUUUGGUCUCCACUUACCUCUGGAGUAAAUGAUUGACUGUUUCUACUUUCAUUGUUAGCAUUUGCUUACUGUAUUACAAUUAUAAGUAUUUUGAGCCAAACCAUGAUCUCUUACUCAAACUAGGUUGAUUUGUUGCACACGUUCUUCACAAC